rnacentral:rRNA from 1 species
GCUCAUAGCGUAUAUUAAGUUGUUGCAGUUAAAAAGCUCGUAGUUGAAUUUCGGGGUUAGUAGGUUGGUCAUGCCUCUGGUAUGUACUGGUCUCACUGAUUCCUCCUUCCUGAUGAACCGUAAUGCCAUUAAUUUGGUGUUGCGGGGAAUUUGGACUGUUACUUUGAAAAAAUUAGAGUGUUUAAAGCAGGCA